rnacentral:lncRNA from 1 species
CGGAGACAAUGGACUCAGUCCCAGAUACAGUCACACGGGGCCGAGCGCAGCUACCGCUGCAGAAUCUAGUCACGGACACCCCCCCGCACACACACACACACACACUCAUGGAGUUGGUUGGAACUGGGCCGUGAGAAAGG